GUGGAUAUAGCUCAGUGGUAGAGCGCAUGCUUAGCAUGCAUGAGGUCCUGGGUUCAAUCCCCAGUACCUCCA
rnacentral:tRNA from 1 species